GUCUCCGGCCACGCCACCCUGAACAUGGCUGAGAGCGUCUGCUCUCGGAAGCUAAGCAGGGUCGGGCCUGGUUAGUACUUGGAUGGGAGACCGCCUAGGAAGAGCAGGUGCUGCAGGCG
rnacentral:rRNA from 1 species